GACGAACGCUGGCGGCGUGCUUAACACAUGCAAGUCGAACGGAAAGGCCCUGCUUUUGUGGGGUGCUCGAGUGGCGAACGGGUGAGUAACACGUGAGUAACCUGCCCUUGACUUUGGGAUAACUUCAGGAAACUGGGGCUAAUACCGGAUAGGAGCUCCUGCUGCAUGGUGGGGGUUGGAAAGUUUCGGCGGUUGGGGAUGGACUCGCGGCUUAUCAGCUUGUUGGUGGGGUAGUGGCUUACCAAGGCUUUGACGGGUAGCCGGCCUGAGAGGGUGACCGGCGACAUUGGGACUGAGAGACGGAGCAGACUCCUACGGGAGGCAGCAGGGGGGAAUAUUGCACAAUGGGCGGAAGCCUGAGGCAGCAACGCCGCGUGCGGGAUGACGGCCUUCGGGUGGUAAACCGAUUUCGACUGUGACGAAGCGUGAGUGACGGUAAUGGGUAAAGAAGCACCGGCUAACUACGUG
rnacentral:rRNA from 1 species